rnacentral:lncRNA from 1 species
GGGAUUAUUAUUUUUCAGCCGUGGAAGCACUGCGAAGGAGCAAGAAAGUAGCAAAUUUGCCUUGUCUCUGCAAGUGGCCGCCAUUUGAGUAGCACAUGGCCAAGAAACUGAAUUUUGUUUAUUAUAGCUGUAUUUAAAAUGCUAGAGUGAUUAAUAUCACGUAAUCAUUUGAAACAUUAUGUGGAAAACGUUUACAUGAAUCAACUCUUGUUGGAUAGUAGUAAGGGUUCUGUUGAGCUGAGAAACGUUUCUUGGAAACUCGAAAUAAUAAACUAACCUGGUCUCCCAAUGGCAAUCCAUGCUUGCUACAUUUUAAAAAUGUUAACUGAUGUCCCACCAUCUAUGUUGCUUUCAAUGAAAUGGUUGAUAUUCCACAAAGGGUUUACACGUACAGUUUAAGUACUGACAGGUGACAUGUAAAGUUGAAUUUAUGUGGGGUGAUGACACAAACUUAUGGAGAUUUGCUGUCAAAAAGUUGAUCUCUUCAAUGGAAACAAUUUUAAAACUUUCUGCUACCAGUGUAUUUUUGUUCCUCUACCUGUGAAGGAACAACUGAACUUGAUGUUGCUGUUGUGAUGGAUCUGAUUAUUGAAUCUUUUCAAUGCCAGAGUAUUUUCCUCUUCUCAUUAAGAAAUAACCUAACUUAAUAUUGCAUUGUAGUGGGUUUGGAUUAUUGAUGUAUUUUAUUGUGGCAAAAGGUAAUGUUAUUGUUUGUCUGAGUUCGAAAAAUGGGAAGCGUCACCAACGAUCUGAUCGCUAUCAUUUUCGGUACGGAACUUUAAAAAACCUGUGCUGGUUAAUUUUUGGUUGAAUAUUUUACGUCGAAGACACCUAAAGGAUUGAGGUCUCGCGGUUACGCUAAAAACUGAGAUACGUCCGUGGCAGUGGUUGAAAGCGAGCAACUCGGACGCAUCCAGUUGGCUUCUAGCCCGUUUGUUUCGUGGAUCAUUCGUGUCUAUUAAGGAUUUAGACAAAGAGGACUCACUGCUGGCGGAUAUCAUAACAAUUUUGAAACAUUCAUUAUGAUUCCUCAACUGCAUCUGAUUGUCAGCGUUGUGGAUGAAAUCGUCAUUUCGUUAAACCAGCACAGUGUUUUUGAGCCAAAGGUCACCGGUUUUUCCGUUUAUCCGUUACUUAAAUUUACGGGAUCUGAUUUCAUCGAUCAUGCUUCUUUUUUUCUCUCAGAAGAUAAAGUCUGGUAAAAUCUCCCUAUACCAACAGUUGAGAGAUGAGUCAACACUCUCAAAUGGAUCAUGGUGAUAUUGUAUUGUUCCGAAAACUUUUGAAAUGGGUCACGAAGGAUAUUUAAGUCUGCGCAUGUACAGCGCUCAGGCAAU